CAGCAGCCGCGGUAAUACGGAGGGUGCAAGCGUUWAUYGGAAUUACUGGGCGUAAAGCGUGCGUAGGCGGUUCUGUAAGUUUGCUGUGAAAUCCCCGGGCUCAACCUGGGAAUGGCAGUGGAUACUGGCAGGCUAGAGUGUGUCAGAGGAUGGUGGAAUUCCCGGUGUAGCGGUGAAAUGCGUAGAGAUCGGGAGGAACAUCAGUGGCGAAGGCGGCCAUCUGGGACAACACUGACGCUGAGGCACGAAAGCGUGGGGAGCAAACAGGAUUAGAUACCCUGGUAGUCCACGCCCUAAACGAUGCGAACUGGAUGUUGGUCUCAACUCGGAGAUCAGUGUCGAAGCUAACGCGUUAAGUUCSCCSCCUGGGGAGUMCGG
rnacentral:rRNA from 1 species